UACAGAGGUCCCAAGCGUUGUUCGGAUUCACUGGGCGUAAAGGUUGCGUAGGCGGUCGGGUAAGUCUGAUGUGAAAUCUCACAGCUUAACUGUGAAACUGCAUUGGAUACUAUCCGGCUCGAGGAAUGGAGGGGAGACUGGAAUACUUGGUGUAGCAGUGAAAUGCGUAGAUAUCAAGUGGAACACCAGUGGCGAAGGCGAGUAUCUGGACAUUUCCUGACGCUGAGGCACGAAAGCCAGGGGAGCAAACGGG
rnacentral:rRNA from 1 species